ensembl:snoRNA small nucleolar RNA SNORA24
AGCUGUGUGGUCUUCCUAGCCACGGAAGAGCAUAUUCUUGUUUAUUGGCAAAGCCGUACCCUUUUAAUGGGGAUCCGAUUCACAGGUAACCUC